rnacentral:rRNA from 1 species
AAGUCGAACGUAGCACAGAGAGCUUGCUUUUGGGUGACGAGUGCGCAGGGGUGAGUAAUGUCUGGGAAACUGCCCGAUGGAGGGGGAUAACUACUGGAUACGGUAGCUAAUACCGCAUAACGUCUCAAGACCAAAGUGGGGGACCUUCGGCCGUCACACCAUCGGAUGUGCCCAGAUGGGAUUAGCUAGUAGGUGGGGUAAUGGCUCACCUCGGAGACGAUCCCUAGCUGGUCUGAGAGGAUGACCAGCCACACUGGAACUGAGACACGGUCCAGACUCCUACGGGAGGCAGCAGUGGGGAAUAUUGCACAAUGGGCGCAAGCCUGAUGCAGCCAUGCCGCGUGUAUGAAGAAGGCCUUCGGGUUGUAAAGUACUUUCAGCGGGGAGGAAGGCGGUGGAGUUAAUAACUUCACGAUUGACGUUACCCGCAGAAGAAGCACCGGCUAACUCCGUGCCAGCAGCCGCGGUAAUACGGAGGGUGCGAGCAUUCAAUCGGAAUUACUGGGCGUAAAGCUGCACGCAGGCUGUGUCUGUCAUAGUCGGAUGUGAAAUCCCCGGGCUUAACCUGGUAACUGCAUUCGAAACUGGCAGGCUAGAGUCUUGUAGAGGGGGGUAGAAUUCCAGGUGUAGCGGUGAAAUGCGUAGAGAUCUGGAGGAAUACCGGUGGCGAAGGCGGCCCCCUGGACAAAGACUGACGCUCAGGUGACAGAAAGCGUGGGGAGCAAACAGGAUUAGAUCACCCUGGUAGUCCACGCCGUAAACGAUGUCGACUUGGAGGUUGUUCCCUCUGAGGAGUGGCUUCCGGAGCUAACGCAGUUAAGUCGCACCGCCUGGGGAGUACGGCCGCAAGGUUAAAACUCAAAGUGAAUUGACGGGGGCCCGCACAAGCGGUGGAGCAUGUGGUUUAAUUCGAUGCAACGCGAAGAACCUUACCUACUCUUGACAUCCAGAGAAUCUUAGCAGAGAUGCUUUGGUGCCUUCGGGAACUCUGAGACAGGUGCUGCAUG